AGAGUUUGAUCAUGGCUCAGGACGAACGCUGGCGGCGUGCCUAACACAUGCAAGUCGAACGGGAUCCAUGAGAGCUUGCUCUCGGAAGAUCUAGUGGCGAACGGGUGAGUAACACGUGAGAAACCUGCCCUGGAGUGGGGAAUAACUCGGGGAAACCCGAGCUAAUACCGCAUACCCUUGGAUGAUCGCAUGGUCGACCAAGGAAAGAUUUAUCGCUCUAGGAGGGUCUCGCGGCCUAUCAGCUAGUUGGUGGGGUAAUGGCCUACCAAGGCAACGACGGGUAGCUGGUUUGAGAGAACGAUCAGCCACACUGGGACUGAGACACGGCCCAGACUCCUACGGGAGGCAGCAGUGGGGAAUCUUGCGCAAUGGGCGAAAGCCUGACGCAGCAACGCCGCGUGCGGGAUGACGGCCUUCGUGGUUGUAAACCGCUUUCAGCAGGGACGAAAAUGACGGUACCUGCAGAAGAAGCCCCGGCUAACUACGUG
rnacentral:rRNA from 1 species